rnacentral:pre_miRNA from 1 species
AAACAAAGAGUCUGUCAGAUUAGCCAACAUGACAUGACUGCCUGGAAAUCUAUAUAACAUAAUGCGAAGCACAAUCCAGAUAGCUAUAGAAGCAGGCAAGUCAUUCUUGGCUGUCAAACAAAAUUCUUGUCU